UGGUGCUGGGAAAAGCCAAGAAUUAACCCUGCUUGGGACUGCAGAYGUGUUUGUAUAAAGUGCUUUUGUUUUUUGUUUUUUUCUUUCUUUUUUCUUUCUAGAAUCUAGUAUUUGCUGAAUGCAUGUGCUGCAGUACUGAAGCUGAACAAGGGCUCACACCUGGUGACAAGAAAACACUGGUGUUUGAAAAUCUGGAAAGAGAGAGAUCUUGGAAAAAUGGCCUAAACCUGGCUGUUUAAUUCUAUAUAUUCCUCGCUGUACAGAAAACAAAAGAGCCAAAGCAUGGUUUGGGAUUCAAAUCCGCUACGGCACGGCUUUUAUCAARGGGAGGCUGGACAGUUUGCUGCUUGGCUCUGGAGAGAGGCACAAGCACGAAACUUCCCUCUGUGGAUCCAAGCUGAUGUGCUUGUAAAGCCGGUGGGGGGAGAAAAUCUUCCCUGCAGCUGCAAACUUGAGCAAUAAGUGGCAAGAUUGCCUGGUGGUGACCUUGGAAGCUGUUCUUCAGGCACUGUUCCACAUAGGAUUUGGGAUCAUGUCUGGAGAGGAGGAUCUCACUGAGCAGAGCAAUGUACGUGAUGGCCAGCCUGAGUGUGUCAAUUUUGGAGAGGCACUUUUCAUAUGGAAAGAGCCUUUGAGGAGCUGGAGGACGAAUGAGCUUUGAACUGAUGCUGCCAAGUAAUUGGUCAUCCAAGUCGGUGCACUCGCAUGGUCAUAUCUGGGUGAURAAAUGCUUAAGUGAACUGAAGUGCUUAAGGGAGAUUCUACAGGCUGCUACUUAAAGCCAUGAGRGAAGAUGCCUCAGCUUUUGAAUCGGUUGCAACCUCAACAUGAACCAGCCCAGGAAGUGCCUUAAUCACUGAAUUUUGGAAGCUGGAAGAGGAUGCUAAGGAAAUGAUCAGCAUGACCAGAAGCCUGUGCUUUUUCCGUUAGUAUCCAGUACCAGCUACAUCAAAGCUGGAAGAGCAUGUACUUCAGGCCAACUGUGGCUACUCCUGUGGAAUCUGUAGACACAAUUUUGGAAAACCAAGUAAUCGUUACUGCUUAACCAAACCAGUGAAUUAGAUCAUGAUAUUGGCUUUAAAAGCCUUCCUCUCUUUUGCUGGGGAAGGUUAUUUGCCUUUGCUCUUCUAUAGGGAUUAUAUAUCCUAUUUUUCCCCACAGGAUUUAAAAAUGCUAUUAAAAAAAAAAAAAAAAAGGAAAAAAUCAGAAACCUGAGCUUUUCAAGAAGUCCUCUGUUUCCAAAACUUGACACAUGGAGAAGACUAGCAGGCACUGUUAGUCUUGCACUGGCAGCCUCAAGGAAUUUGUCUGAAAUCUCUGGACAUUGUGAAUUGUAAGGAACACUAAAGUGGUAAGACUCUUGAGAAACCUGUAUUCCCUGGGGAGCUCUGCUGCAGUUCUGGACAGACCAGAGAUUUUUUGAUGAGAGCAUUUUUUCAUAAACUCUGCCC